CUUCAGCUGUGAAUAGGUGCUUGGUUGUCAGAGAAGUGCACAGAAUGUUUUAACCUCCCACCAGAGUAACGGCCUCGGCUCUCUGGGGGACGUUCUGGGUUAAGGUUCUGGGUAUGAAAUGACAGCGACUGUUACUGGAAUCACCUCUGCUCUGAAUUCUCCCAUUGCUAUUGUCUUCACCUUUAGGAUUUUGGGUUCUAGUCGAAAUCUCGUGGCAAAUGGAAGGCUAGGUGUCUGCAGUAAACCUGUUGGAAGAUGGAAGGCUAGGUGUCUGCAGUAAACCUGUUGGAAGAUGGAAGGCUAGGUGUCUGCAGUAAACCUGUUGGAAGGUGGAAGGCUAGGUGUCUGCAGUAAACCUGUUGGAAGAUGGAAGGCUAGGUGUCUGCAGUAAGCCUGUUGGAAGGUGGAAGGCUAGGUGUCUGCAGUAAACCUGUUGGAAGAUGGAAGCUCUGCAGCCCACCACCCUUGUUUCACAGCUGCUUGUUUUUCUUUUCACCCCCGCCGCCUCUCCCCGACCUACGCUCACACUCUACUCCAGAUGAUGAGGAGAAGGAGCAGAAGAAAACCGAAAAAGCCAGCAGGGUGUGGUGGAGGCAGGAGGAUCACCUCAGGUUCUAGGCCAACCAGACAUACAUAGAGACCUUGUCUCAAGACAAAGAAAACCAGAGAGUAUGAAACCCUCUGGACUUUGGUAGGAUGCCAGACGUGCCCAUGAACAGAGCAAACUGAAAAGUCAGACAUGUCCCAGUAUGUUGAGCAAAUUCUCCUCUGCCAGACUUUAACCGUGGGUUCUAAAUCUAAUCAUUUCUCCCAGUGAAAUAGUUGGCUGACUAUUUGAUUGGGGCUUUAGGGAGUGUGUCCUCAGUUGCAAUCCAACCCUUAGCAGCUGUCCUGGUUUCAUUUCUGUUACCCCUAACAAGAAGUAACUUUGGAGAGUCCCAGCCCCUGGUCACCAAUGGUCAAGGGAGGACCCCUUAGCAGCCAAUCGAAACACAAACACCCCAACCGAGAGCACCGAGCUGCCUGCUUGUCUUUCUCCCUGCUUUCUCUCUCUACUCUCCCACGGUGCAGGAUCCAGUCCAUGGGAUGGCACUGCCCACAUUCAGAGUGGGUCGUCUCAACUCAGUUAACCAUCAAGCGAGUCCCCCGCACCAAGACAUGCAGAGAUGAUCUACACAAUCCCUCAGGAAGCUGAUGGCAGAAACGGAUACAAGGAAUUAAUCAUCACCUUUGAUCACCAAUCCAUCCUAGCAAGAAAGGACAUCAGUCAGCAAUAGCCAGGCUGCCAUUGUUCCUGUCCCCUGACUUCAGUGAGUUUUUUGUUCGAUUAUUAAAGGUGGUGGUUGAAUCAUUAAUCUGCUCCAGCACCUAUGCUUGGAAAAAAAUCACUAUUAUUGUAGUUACAAUUAAAGGUUCUCUGAAUGUCAGAAGAAACUUUAGAAUUUGGACUUUCAAUCAAUGCCGUGGCCAUGAAAGGCUAAGUGGACGCUAAAGUUGGACUAAAUACGUUUGCACUAUGAUGUGGUCAUGAGCCUAUGUGGACCAGGAAGGAGAAUGUGGUGGUUUGACUGAGAAAUAUCCUCUGUAGUCUAGGGCAUUUGAACAUUUGGCCCCCAGGCAGUACCCUGUUUGGGGAGGUUUCCGGGGCACAGCCUCGCUGUAGGAAGUACAUCGUUGAGGGUGGGCUUUGUCCACCUCUGGUUUCUUCUCUCUGCUGUGUUUUUGUAGUUGAGACGUGAUCGCUCAGCUUCCUGCUGCUGCUGCCAUGUUUUGGCUGUGCUGUUUUGUCACAGCAACAGAAAAAUGCUAAUACACAUAUGUAACAUAUGCACACACACAAUGAAAACGAUAAUUUACAACUAUCCCAACAACUUACAGUACUCUGUGUAUUAGAGUCUCAUACAGAAAUAAGUUUCCUGGGAAAUAUGUCUUUUUUUAUAUUGCCUAUUGAAAACUCUGACUUUGCUGAAAAUACCCUGUAAUUUUCUAACCUAGCAUUUCUGUGAUAUGAAAUUGUCAGUUAGAACCUUAUAGAAUUGUUGUGUCUCUUCAGAUUAUUGCUAGCAGACCGGCACGGCUGUAAUGGAAAUAUUACCUCGUCCAUUCUCUGUGCAACAUGCUGUAUUAUAAAAUUCCAGGAUUCUCCCUGUAGGAGCUAACAUUUCACUCAAGAGUCGCAUUAGUUUCUUACUGUUUUAAGGAAGUGUCUGAUCACUCUUCAACUCGUAUUUCAAUGUCAAUGACUCAAACAUGCCGACUCAUGCUUCUCUUCUUUCUUCUUUAACAUAGCUCCCUCUCCCUGCAGACAUCUGUGGGGCAGCUCCUGUGGGCCAGGCACUCGUAAACCACCAAAUGGCCCCCAGCUCCUCUUAUUACCAAGGUUUAAGUGUAACAAGGAGAUGAGGCAUUGUAAGACACAUUGGGAUAUAUGUUAGAUGGACACACCAAAGCGUGAGGAGUGAGCAGGGAGGGAGGAUUCAGUGGUGAGGGCUGAGAGCUGUGUGUGUGAGCAGGGAGGGAAGAUACGGGUAUAAGGGCCACAACAACAUAUGUGCUGUGAAUCAGCAAGCAUCUUUCGGAACAGGUAGCAUUUAAGUGUAAUAAAAUGAUACUCAAGUACUGUGAGAAACUCUCAAGUCCUUCCAAG